rnacentral:misc_RNA from 1 species
GAGGAUUAUAAACAAGAACAACUAAGCUUUUCCCAUGAGAAAGGCCUACUUCAGAUGGAGGACAAUAACUUAUAUUCAGAAGAAGACACUGUUCAAACUUUGUUACUGGGCUGGAACACCCGGAAUUUGUUGCUGACUCUGCCAGGCAAGCAAGUGAAGAUUCCACCACCUUUUCUGCCUCUGCAUAACCUAUCGAUAGCCGUUUGGCGUAAUCAUUGGCCACGUGUUGUUGUUCUGUUCCACUGACUGCAUCAUGGUGCUGAGCAAUUGCUAAAGCGGCAGCCAGGCAAUUGGAAUUUCUCAAAGGAAGGACCAGUUCAGGGCC